UGGGGAAUAUUGGACAAUGGGGGCAACCCUGAUCCAGCCAUGCCGCGUGUGUGAAGAAGGCCUUUUGGUUGUAAAGCACUUUAAGCAGGGAGGAGAGGCUAAUGGUUAAUACCCAUUAGAUUAGACGUUACCUGCAGAAUAAGCACCGGCUAACUCUGUGCCAGCAGCCGCGGUAAUACAGAGGGUGCGAGCGUUAAUCGGAAUUACUGGGCGUAAAGCGAGUGUAGGUGGCUCAUUAAGUCACAUGUGAAAUCCCCGGGCUUAACCUGGGAACUGCAUGUGAUACUGGUGGUGCUAGAAUAUGUGAGAGGGAAGUAGAAUUCCCAGGUGUAGCGGUGAAAUGCGUAGAGAUCUGGAGGAAUACCGAUGGCGAAGGCAGCUUCCUGGCAUAAUAUUGACACUGAGAUUCGAAAGCGUGGGUAGCAAACAGGAUUAGAUACCCUGGUAGUCCACGCCGUAAACGAUGUCUACUAGCCGUUGGGGUCCUUGAGACUUUAGUGGCGCAGUUAACGCGAUAAGUAGACCGCCUGGGGAGUACGGCCGCAAGGUUAAAACUUAAAUGAAUUGACGGGGUCAUAGCUGUUUCCU
rnacentral:rRNA from 1 species